rnacentral:misc_RNA from 1 species
GAUGAAGAACGUAUUGAAAUGCGAUACGUAAUGUGAAUUGCAGAAUUCAGUGAAUCAUCGAGUCUUUGAACGCACAUUGCGCCCCCUGGUAUUCCGGGGGGCAUGCCUGUCCGAGCGUCAUUGCUGCCCUCAAGCACGGCUUGUGUGUUGGGCCUCCGCCCCCCGGCUCCCGGGGGGCGGGCCCGAAAGGCAGCGGCGGCACCGCGUCCGGUCCUCGAGCGUAUGGGGCUUCGUCACCCGCUCCGUAGGCCCGGCCGGCGCCCGCCGGCGACCCCCCUCAAUCUUUCCAGGUUGACCUCGGAUCAGGUAGGGAUACCCGCUGAACUUAAGCAUAUCAAUAAGCGGAGGA